AUAUGUGGGUGAUGAGAAAGUGAAAUCAAUCAGUUAUCCCUGUCUGAGAUUUUUGUGCUGAUUUUUCUAAACUCUGACACAUUU
rnacentral:snoRNA from 1 species